rnacentral:rRNA from 1 species
AACGUAGGACGCAAGCGUUAUCCGGAAUUACUGGGCGUAAAGCGCGUGCAGGCGGGUUGAUAAGUCAUACGUGAAAGCUCCUGGCUAAACUGGGAGAGGUCGUGUGAAACUAUCGAUCUGGAGGUUGUCAGAGGCGUGUGGAAUUCCGCGUGUAGUGGUGAAAUGCGUAGAUAUGCGGAGGAACACCGGUGGCGAAGGCGACACGCUGGGACACACCUGACGCUGAGGCGCGAAAGCAUGGGUAGCGAACGGGAUUAGAUACCCCCGUA